GAAAUCCUACUCCACAAAUAUCUGUUCAACCAUGUUCACUGAUGCUCUACUCACAAUAGCUGGGAACUGGAAAUUAAAUGUGCUUCAACCAACAAAUGCAGAGUGAAAGUGUGGUACACAUAACUUAUGUAAUACUAUUCAGCUGUGAAGAAAAACGCAAUCACGAAGUCUGCAGGUAACGGGGAAGCAAACAAGAGUCCAGCUGAGCUAUGAGAUCUCUGAACCACCACAAGCAACAUGGCAUAAUAACCAUAAGAUACAAAAUUGACACACAUAACCAACAGCUCUCUAAUUGGCUUUAGUAGCCACUUGGCAAGACAAAAGUUAUACCUAGUGCUGGAAACCAUAGAUCUUGGAGAACCUACAGUCCCCACCUUACUAAACCAGCAUAAUUCAUCUACAUUCUAAACAUGUUUCUUUACACCCACAAAUAAAUGUAGUCUUCAUCCUUCAUCAAAGAAACAUCUCUUUGUAACAGACAGAAACUAUCGCAGAAAACCACAAUGGAUCAAAAUGCAAAGUUGUAGAGCCCGGUCCCAAUGGAUACAUGUACAGUACAUCUCACAUUUUAGAAGAGGAUGUGUAAAGAUUUUAAAAGCCAGAGGAUCAAGGAGUUUGCUGUGAGGUUGUGUCUCUUUGUGAUGUCAGAAGCUACACAGAUGUCUCAGCAACAUGCCUGCUUAAAUAGGAGCUGGGCAAGGAGGACACUAACAGACAGACCUGCUAAUGUGGGAAGAGGAAGCUCAGGACGCCUCGGCCCUACACAAAGAACUUCAGACAACUAAGACCUGAGUGCGUUAACUCACAAUCCUGCUUCUCCCUUCUGCGUAUUAGCAUGUGCCAUCAAGCUCUAUCUUCGUGUGAUGCUGGGGACAGAACCUAGGACUCUGAGCACAAGUGGCAAGUGCUCACCACUACAGCUGUGCCCAGCCAGAGAGGCUGACUUCCUUGUUUUCAAGUUUGUUUUCAUUUCUUCAACAAAUUUCCUUUUUUUUCUUUUAUUGCUAUCUUGCAAUAAAUAGUUUAAAAGAC